rnacentral:rRNA from 1 species
UACAGAGGUCCCAAGCGUUGUUCGGAUUCACUGGGCGUAAAGGGUGCGUAGGUGGCGAGGUAAGUUCGAUGUGAAAUCCCCGGGCUCAACCCGGGAACUGCAUUGAAAACUCUCUCGCUCGAGGGUCGGAGGGGAGACUGGAAUUCUCGGUGUAGCAGUGAAAUGCGUGGAUAUCGAGAGGAACACCAGUGGCGAAGGCGAGUCUCUGGACGACACCUGACACUGAGGCACGAAAGCUAGGGGAGCAAACAGG